UAGUAGUAGUAGUAGUAAUAGUAGUAGUAGUAGUAGUAAUAGUAGUAGUAGUAGUAGUAGUAAUAGUAGUAGUAGUAGUAGUAAUAGUAGUAGUAGUAGUAGUAAUAGUAGUAUCGGGAAUAGGUAUUGGUCAGUAUCGGUAGGUCACAAUAUCAUCGGGAGAAGGUUAGGUUUUAUCGGCAACAGGUUAGGUUACUGUCCUCACCGUUGAUGGCUUACGUUAUCGGCGAAAGGUUAGUUUUAUCGGCAAAUAGGUUAGCAUCCUCAACGUUGAUUAGACUACAAUGUUAUCGGCAAUGGGUUAGUGGUCUGUAUCGGAAGGUCACAGUGUUAUCGGCAAAAGGCUAUUGUUAUAUCGGCAAUGGGUAACUGGUCUGUAUCGGAAGGUCAGUGUUAUCGGCAAAAGGUUACUUAUAUCGGCAAUGGGUAACUGGUCUGUAUCGGAAGGUCAGUGUUAUCGGCAAAAGGUUACUUAUAUCGGCAAUAGGUAACUGGUCUGUAUCGGAAGGUCAGUGUUAUCGGCAAAAGGUUAGCGUUAUAUCGGCAAUGGGUAACUGGUCUGUAUUGGAAGGUCAGUGUUAUCGGCAAAAGGUCACUGUUAUAUCGGCAAAAGGUCACUGUUAUAUCGGCAAAAGGUCACUGUUAUAUCGGCAAUAGGUCACUGUUAUAUCGGCAAAAGGUCACUGUUAUAUCAGCAAUAGGUCACUGUUAUAUCGGCAAAAGGUCACUGUUAUAUCGGCAAAAGGUCACUGUUAUAUCGGCAAAAGGUCACUGUUAUAUCGGCAAAAGGUCACUGUUAUAUCGGCAAAAGGUCACUGUUAUAUCGGCAAAAGGUCACUGAUAUAUCGGCAAUAGGCAACUGGUCUGUAUCGUAAGGUCAUUAGGAAACUGUCCUUCACGGGGAAAGAUGUUCUCAUAUUUCUCCUCAUUCCGCCUUAUUUACGCCAUUAUUUAAGGUCAUACCCACCCCUAUGGCUGCCUAAGGGUCCCGUCUACCUUACCUGGGCAUAUGGACAGGUAAUAUAGAAGGAGACAGGAGGAAAAAAUGAAAAUAACAGGCGGAGUAUGUAGUGUCUGCGUGUGGGAGGGUAAGAUGUUCUCAUAUUUCUCCACAUUCCGCUUUAUCUACGCCAUUAUUUAAGGUCAUACCCACCCCUAUGGUUCCCUAAGAGUCCCGUCUACCUUACCUGGGCAUAUGGACAGGUAAUAUAGAAGGAGACAGGAGGAAAAAGGAAAAAUAACAGGCGGAGUAUGUGUGUGUCUGCGUGUGGGAGGGUAAGAUGUUCUCAUAUUUCUCCUCAUUCCGCCUUAUCUACGCCAUUAUUUAAGGUCAUACCCACCUCUAUGGCUGCCUAAGGGUCCCGUCUACCUUACCUGGGCAUAUGGACAGGUAAUAUAGAAGGAGACAGGAGGAAAAAAUGAAAAUAACAGGCGGAGUAUGUGAGUGUUUGCGUGUGGGAGGGUAAGAUGUUCUCAUAUUUCUCCUCAUCCCGCCUUAUCUACGCCAUUAUUUAAGGUCAUACCCACCUCUAUGGCUGCCUAAGAGUCCCGUCUACCUUACCUGGGCAUAUGGACAGGUAACAUAGAAGG